GCCCCCAUCGUCUAGUGGCCUAGGACACCGGCCUUUCAAGCCGGCAGCAUGGAUUCGAAUUCCAUUGGGGGCA
rnacentral:tRNA from 1 species